AGAGAGGUAAGGGACCAGCUCAGGGACCAGCUACACUAUUCACAGCCCUGUGUAAUGUUCUAUAUAAGAGAGGUAAGGGACCAGCUACACUAUUCACAGCCCUGUGUAAUGUUCUAUAUAAGAGAGGUAAGGGACCAGCUACACUAUUCACAGCCCUGUGUAAUGUUCUAUAUAAGAGAGGUAAGGGACCAGCUACACUAUUCACAGCCCUGUGUAAUGUUCUAUAUAAGAGAGGUAAGAGACCAGCUACACUAUUCACAGCCCUGUGUAAUGUUCUAUAUAAGAGAGGUAAGGGACCAGCUACACUAUUCACAGCCCUGUGUAAUGUUCUAUAUAAGAGAGGGA